GGAGCCGGACAGGCUGUCGCUGCGAUCAUUGAUCGGAGAGGAAAGUCCGGGCUCCGCAGGGCAGAACGCUGGGUAACUCCCAGGGGGAGCGAUCCCCGUCAAGUGCAACAGAAAGCAGACCGCCUCCGGGGAAACCCGGCGGUAAGGGUGAAACGGUGGGGUAAGAGCCCACCGCGUCCCUGGCAACAGGGGCGGCACGGCAACCCCCAGCUGGUGCAAGGCCAAAUAGGCGGCGAGGUCCGGCCCGGACCGCCCACGUCGGAGGCGCCGCAAGGCGUCGCGCCGACGAGCCGCGGGUAGGCCGCGCGAGGUGGCGGGUGACCGCCAUCCCAGAGAGAUGAC
rnacentral:RNase_P_RNA from 1 species